rnacentral:rRNA from 1 species
UGGGGAAUUUUGGACAAUGGGCGAAAGCCUGAUCCAGCAAUGCCGCGUGUGUGAAGAAGGCCUUCGGGUUGUAAAGCACUUUUGUCCGGAAAGAAAUCCUUGGCUCUAAUACAGUCGGGGGAUGACGGUACCGGAAGAAUAAGCACCGGCUAACUACGUGCCAGCAGCCGCGGUAAUACGUAGGGUGCAAGCGUUAAUCGGAAUUACUGGGCGUAAAGCGUGCGCAGGCGGUUUGCUAAGACCGAUGUGAAAUCCCCGGGCUCAACCUGGGAACUGCAUUGGUGACUGGCAGGCUAGAGUAUGGCAGAGGGGGGUUAGAAUUCCACGUGUAGCAGUGAAAUGCGUAGAGAUGUGGAGGAAUACCGAUGGCGAAGGCAGCCCCCUGGGCCAAUACUGACGCUCAUGCACGAAAGCGUGGGGAGCAAACAGGAUUAGAUACCCUGGUAGUCCACGCCCUAAAACGAUGUCAACUAGUUGUUGGGGAUUCAUUUCCUUAGUAACGUAGCUAACGCGUGAAGUUGACC